rnacentral:lncRNA from 1 species
UCUCAAGACUUUUGUAAUGGAAGUGUUUUUGUUUUUCUUUCGUCUUCACAUGGCUCUGCUUCUUAAAGCUAAUGUUAGUAUCAAUUAGGCUCCUUUUUGCAUAAUAUGACUUUGGAGCUUUAUUGUAAAUUCUGAUGGAUACAAAAUGUAUAAAUCUGACAAAAAUUGCAAAAUUCUCAUGAGAUUAUUAAAGUCUCCCUUAUAGCUAUGAUAGAUGAUUGAUCUUUUUACGUCCCUGUCUUCCCCUGUUGAGCUCGGGCACUAUAAAUUUGGUAACUACCGAGUUUGUCUCUUUUGAGUUCAUAUAAAAUACAGCUAAAUCGAGUUUUUUUUUAAAGCCAUGAAGAAAUUACGAAUGAGAUGAAAAGAAAUAGAAAAAAAAAUUACAAAAAAAAAAAAAAGAAAAAUACAACAACCGAAGGAAACAAAAGAAUUAUCAAUAUUUUUCAAAGAGAGAAGGAAAUGAUUUCAAAAUUUUGUUUUAAACUUUUAGUGAAAAUCAAUAUUAUUUUUUAAAAAUAAGUUUAAGAGUCAAAAUCUAUAUGACUUGAAUACAAUGCCGAACUUCAAACACCACAAAACUUACGGACCAACUAAGGACGUUUUUAAAAUUUAAUACUUAAACUAAUUUUUAAAAAGUAAUAGUGAAAUUAACAUGGUUUUAGUUAAAAAAUUAUUCUGUGUUAAAUUUUUUUAGUGAAAAUCACUAUUAUUUUUAAAAAUGAGUUUACGUAUCAAAUCUAUAUAACGUAAAAACAAUGUCGAACUUCGAACACCGCAGAGCUUACGGACUAAUUAAGGAUGGGAUGCCUAAGCGCGGUUAAUUUUCGACGUUUUUAAAAUUACAACACUUAAACUAAUUUUUUAAAAGUAAUAGUGAAAUUAACAUGAUUUUAGUUAAAAAAAAAUUAACUAUUUUCUUAAAGAUUAAGUUUUAAAUUUGUUUUUUUAAAUGUUUUAAUAAAAGUUUUAAAUUAAUUAGUUUUAGUUUUACCCAAAAUAAUUUUUUAAAAGAAAUAAAAACAAAAAUAAGAAUGAAAAAAAAUAAUGUACCUUGUUAGAAGUGGUAACAAAGAAGGCCCAUUCGAAGACUCAGAUUCUCAUCAAAAACAAUUUGGGGCUUAACCAAAAUUCAACCCAUUAGUUUUCUUGAGACCAAAACACUUGAAGCCCAACUUCUUUCCUUUGUUGUUGACUUUUCUUUCUUCUCGGUCGUUGACUCUCUUCUUCUUCUUCGACAUCCUUCGAUCACGAGCCUUUGCUUCUUCUUCUUCUUGUUCUCAUCAAGGAUGUCAACUUCAACAGUCCGCCUUUCUCCCUCUCAUCAUUAGCCGCCGUCUACAAAGUGUUGCGGUGGAGAUCAUGUGAAAUUAGGGUUCGACUGUAGAAGUAGUCACAGGAUAUCGAAUGCACAAGAGAGAAUGGCGAUCAAUCUAAGAAACGUGACGAUCGAUCUUCUUCUCAAGGAAGAAGGCCAGUUUCGCAGAGAGUGGCUCUACCUCUACAUGGAUCAUCGGCUUCACGAGAUUGGCGAUCGAAAAUUGGCAAAGUUUGUUAGACGAGUAUUUAUAAGGAAAGGUACUUGAGAAGAAGAAAAAAGGAAAUCCUCGCUUUUAAUCAAAAAAAAGGAAAUUGAUCACAACGGUCAAUUAGUGAUCACAACGGUCAUUAGUGAUGAUGGCAACGUAUAUUUGAUUUGACCAUAACAAUAGAAUCUGAAUGGAUAUAAUUUAGUAUUGAAAGUCUUUUCUUUCCAUUGUUUCUAUUGACAAAUAAUCUCAAUCCCCUUUUUGGCUUAGCCUUACUUACUCAUGUAUACAGAGACUCUUUUCGUUCACGUGUCCUCUACACUUAUGUUUCAAUGAAUGAUAAUUCCAAGUUCAUAUGCUCAUCAUCAUCCACAUUUCAGAGUCUAUU